UGAAGUAUAGCCAAGCGGUAAGGCCUCCGUUUUUGGUACGGAAAAUCAAAGGUUCGAA
rnacentral:tRNA from 1 species